rnacentral:rRNA from 1 species
UCUGGUGGCAAUAGCAAAGAGGUCACACCUGUUUCCAUGCCGAACACAGAAGUUAAGCUCUUUAGCGCCGAUGGUAGUCGGACUAACGUUCCGCUAGAGUAGGACGUUGCCAGGC